UAAUAUUAAGCAUUAUUUCUGACAUAAUGGAGAGGAAAGCCAGAAUAUUUGGUGACAUACUUUUGUCAGAAUAUCCAGUGACAUCUUAAAAUAUCAGGGUUCGGAGAUGAAAUUUGAGAUGUCCCGAUUUAAAAUUUCUGUUUCCUUAUGAAUAAUGAAAUGCCAAAGGUCACUUUAGCUGAGUGCAUAUUUCAGUCACAGGUAACAUAAGGGAAAGGGUUACAAAAUGUCAGGGUUUAACUCAGAGAGCAGUAUUUGUUAUACAGAUUUUUCAAGAGCUAUUAUUUAGUGUUGCAAUGUAUGCUUACACUUGAAUUGAAUGAAACGGUUAGAGAGAAAAAAAAUCAAUUUGCAUUCUGCUAACUUCCAGUGUGUUUCCAUGGAUCAAGGUGACUAGUAACUGUUGUACAUUGUUGUGCGUUUUGUUAAGUUUCUUUCCAACAGAUGCAACUUCAAAUAGUCUCCAUUAACCUCUUUUCGAUCCUGAACACAUCCUUUAUGUCACACAUAAAUCCUAACUACCACAUAACCGGUCCCUAAUGAUGUAAAUAACCCAUCUGUUUUCAACAUCUCCCCGCUAUAAUGGCUUAGUGGCUCAGGUACUAAGGUAGUCGUCUGUACGUGUGGUUCGUUCACAUACCAGCCCACCGGAGGAGCGGAUAAUACCAUUUCCGGCCAAACACGCGUCUCAGCAGACGUCAGCCCAAGCUCGUGUGCGUCAGAACACCGCCCGGGACUAGAACUGACCUCUUAUAACACGAGGGUUCAAAAGAAACGUACUUUGUAACGCAGAAGUGGUCUUGUUAUGUUCAGAGGAACAAUCAUCCAGGUGCAUGCUGUGGAAAUUCUAGUGGUAGUGGCCAUGUUUUCUACAAUUUCCUAAGAACCGUAGCGGACGGGACAGGUGACACUGAGGCCAUCUCUCAGUUCAUCACCAACCAGGAGUGAAGUGUGUGGCCGUGGCCCAUGCCUUGAGCGGUGCAGUGGCCCGGGCUGCCGGGGGAGGGAACCAUGCGCCUGUCUGCCCUGACGGUCUUCUUACAUCUCUGCGUGCUGCGGACAUCCACCAAAUGUGAUCACGAAGGUACGGUUUAUACCGGAAUACGGAAUAGAGAAUAUAAAAAGGAGAUAGAAAUAAACUGUGGAAAGUAGCACUCAAACCUCCAUCC